rnacentral:misc_RNA from 1 species
UCCGGCUUGACGCCGGCAGUCUCCUUAGAGUGCCCGACUAAAUGAUGGCAACUAAGGACAAGGGUUGCGCUCGUUGCGGGACUUAACCCAACAUCUCACGACACGAGCUGACGACAGCCAUGCAGCACCUGUGCACGGGCUCCGAAGAGGGCCCUCGGUUUCUCGAGGGUUUCCCGUGUAUGUCAAGCCUAGGUGAGGUUUUUCGCGUUGCAUCGAAUUAAUCCACAUAAUCCACCGCUUGUGCGGGUCCCCGUCAAUUCCUUUGAGUUUUAACCUUGCGGCCGUACUCCCCAGGCGGUCGACUUCACGCGUUAGCUUCGUUACUGAGAGUGUCAAACCCCCAACAACCAGUCGACAUCGUUUAGGGCGUGGACUAC